GUGGGGAAUAUUGCACAAUGGAGGAAACUCUGAUGCAGCGACGCCGCGUGAGUGAAGAAGUAUUUCGGUAUGUAAAGCUCUAUCAGCAGGGAAGAAAAUGACGGUACCUGACUAAGAAGCACCGGCUAAAUACGUGCCAGCAGCCGCGGUAAUACGUAUGGUGCAAGCGUUAUCCGGAUUUACUGGGUGUAAAGGGAGCGUAGGUGGCAAGGCAAGCCAGAAGUGAAAACCCGGGGCUCAACCGCGGGAUUGCUUUUGGAACUGUCAUGCUAGAGUGCAGGAGGGGUGAGCGGAAUUCCUAGUGUAGCGGUGAAAUGCGUAGAUAUUAGGAGGAACACCGGAGGCGAAGGCGGCUCACUGGACUGUAACUGACACUGAGGCUCGAAAGCGUGGGGAGCAAACAGGAUUAGAUACCCUGGUAGUCC
rnacentral:rRNA from 1 species